AUGGAAAUUUCGCGCAGGCAGUUAAGGAUUAAAAUCUAGGCUUCUGUGUGCUCUUCUCUCAGUGCCAAAAUCAUUCAUUACAAAAUUGCUAAAUGUCUCUUUCCACUGCCAUGUUAACUUGCGGCAGUUUCGAAUUUAUAACUUGUUGACAGUUUGCCAACACAGCUUUGAUACUGUUGGACUUGCAAACCUCACUUACCAAGCUAUAUUUAUGGUUUUCGUUUCAUGAAUGCAGUGAAGUCUGAAGGUGAGGGUGACAUUGAAGUAUGGCACAUCACGGAAGCGGACUUCAUGGAGGCCAUUGGUUUUGAUGGCUGCACCUCAAAUGGAAAAAUUAAAGUGGAAUUUAAAAAAUGUGCUGGAACUGCGGUGAAUAGACCCACUGGAGCUGCGGUGAAUGCUGGCAGCAAUGUAAUCGAACGUGCAGCAACUUCCGAAGAUGUGGUGUCGGCUAUCCUAAAAUUUUUGAAGAACCCCGAUGAGACGGAUAGACGGACCACGAAACACAGCCAGGCAUCGCCAGCUACGAGUGGCUGCAAGCAGCAGCAAGAAAGCUGCCAGACUCCAGUGUCAUUUAUGUCCCUUCACCGCUGCACGAAAAGCGGGCAUGGUGCUACACCUCAACAAGCAUAAGCGGAGCGAUGAGACGGAUGGAAGGACCACGAAACACAGCCAGGCAUCGCCAGCUACGAGUGGCUGCAAACGCAGCAAGAAAACUGCCAGACUCCAGUGUCAUUUAUGUCCCUUCAGCGCUGCAGGAAAAGCGGGCAUGGCACUACACCUUAAGAAGCAUGAGCGGAUGGCAUCUUUGUCGCAAGCCAUAACAAGUCAGUCAUGCGACCGCUCUGAAAACAGAAUGUCGAACCGAGAUUCCAAGUCGGUCAGUUCUGUUCAGGGCAACCACACGACCACGGAGCCUCUCUCGACAAAAGAACUGCUGGUGCUUCGUUGUUAUGCUUGCCCAUUUGUUACAAGUCAUCAAGAAUCACUAUUUGACCACAUCAAGU